AUUAUUUCUCGAUUACUAGGGAAGCCGCUCUUAGCACACAAUCCACAAAACACUGGGCAACCCAAUUUUUCAGUACGCGGUCUCAGCCUCGCUUACCCAUUAAGCGAGUCAAUUCUCCCUCGAUACCCCUCCAGGCCUCCACUACCGACGCCUGCUGCCCUCCGCGCCCGCCGCCUCCUAGGUCGACAGCACUCGCCACCUCCCCGCCCUCCGGCGACGGCUUCCCUUCCUUCCAGCAUCCGCCUCCCAGCCAUCCACAUCUGCCUCCGAGAGCGAGUUGUCGCUACAUCUGACGGGGAGCACGGACGGCCGGGGCAUGCCGCUUGCCCCGCGCAAGCUCGCAGCAGCGGGUCCGACGGGUGGAAACCUUCGGUGCCGAGGCCGACGGAGCAACAGUAGCAGCUUGGCUAGCAGUGGAGGUAGGGCAGCACCGCAGCAGCAGUGUAUGACCAGGGAGCAAGGCCCGCGUGGGGCAAAGGAGUCUGGAUGGGCGUUGGCAUGGCGUGGAGCAACAGAAGAGAGGAGAAACGGAUAAGGAAGGGAAUGAAGACCGAGAAAUGGAGGAAACAAGAAAUGGCAAACGGACGGCAGCGGAAAUAGAAGUAAAGAAAAAGAAGGGAGGAAAAAAGAGAAAAAGAAAACGGAAAAGAAAAAACGAGUGAUCAUCAUCCUUAGGGGUAUCUCAGCAUUUCACCACUCAGGGUAGAGAAUUGAUGGGAAAAAAAGUAGAAGUGCCAAACAUCCAGCUUAUUCAGACAGUAGAUUCUUCUGGUGCCUAGCUUACCAGAC
rnacentral:lncRNA from 1 species